AAGAAUGAGUCCCACACCAAGAUGACUCGAAGAUGCCGAUGCGGAAGUGCCUUGAUGCCGGAAUUGUAUGCCUCGAUUCUAAGUCCUGAAGGGGGCGCAAAACAAACAUGAGUGGACCAAGUUGAUAUAUAUAUAUAAUAAAAAUUUAUCAACGUACUAACCCCCAGGUUUUAUGAAAACACAUAUAUAAUGAUAAACAUAGGUUUUUCGAAACCUAGCAUGAUGUGCAGUAUCUCAAAUCAUAACUCAUAUAUAAUAAUCACUAGUGAAUUGUCCGAUAACCCCCAGGCCCCAUGCCGGCUCCCCGUCUCUGAGCAGACAGUCAGAGGAAAAACACCUUCAGCCCCAAUGCCGGCUCCCGUCUCUGUGCUAAAUAGCCAGAGGAAACACACUCCAGGCCCUAUGCCAACACCAAACCGUCGCCCGGGACGGACUGGAAUCUAUCCUUACGUCCCGUAGCAGAAAGGACCACUAGGUAAGUACGAAACCAUUGAACAUAUAUAUAUUGAAAAACAACUUCAUAGUAUAAAGUCAUCCAUCAUCUAUACUAUAAAGAGGUGUUCGAAACAUGUUCUAAAUAUCAUAUCGUCAUCCAUUGGAUCCAUUGGAUAUUCUAUAAGAACAUGGGUUAUAGGAAAAAUAGUAAUAAUUCAAAGUAGCCUCAGUAAGCAUGUUAUCUCACAAAACGUUUCAUAAAACGUAAUCAUCAAUUCAUGCUUUUUAUGAUGCAUUCUACUAUAAAAAUGCAUUUUAGAAGGGGUCCACUCACAGUACUUAGCCGCCGAAGAGCCACGCAACCUAUCGAAGAAGGAACGCCACAGAUAAUCGCCCCUAAGCACAUAAAUGGUCCAAUUAAUAAAACUAUAUAAUAGAAAUUGAAUUUGGAAAAACGGACGUCAGAAACGGAUUCAGAACGUCGAAUUACCUAAAAAGGGUACCGGACGAAACCCGAAAAGUCAACCCUAAAGUCAACGUUGACCGGGGAUCAACGGUCAAAUUAGGUCAAACGGGUUUUAGACUUGAAAUCCGGAUUAGGGUUUAGGUUAAAUAGGGUUAGGACCUAUUGGGUUUUGAACUAAAUAAAAUAAGGGAAUUGGGUUGGAUGGGUUAGGCCCUAAUAGAUUUUAGGAACCUAGGGUUUUUGGGUUAAAAGGGUUUAGGAUGGAAAAAUUGGGGUUUGGGCUUUAGCCCAAACACACACACACAUGCAUGGCAUGCAUGUGCAUGCAUAAACACACACCACACACACUGCACGCACGGCAACACACACAAGGCACAAGGCCUUAAGGCCUCACUAGGGCAGGGCUUUAAGCCCCUUUAAAUCAAAACCGGCCCAAGGCCAUUUAAUAAGGCCCGAGGCCUUUGGGGUUUUAAAACAAAAAGAAUAAAAACAAAAACUGAAAGGGAAAGGGUUUUGGGCUAAAACAAACGGGCUUAAGGCCCAAGGGAAAGGGAAAGGGAAGGCCGGAUGGCCUUGGUUUGUCGAGAGGGAAGGCCGGAAAUUCGGCCGGAAAAUUACCCCACUUUAAACGGCCAUAACUUUGUCACUGCUCAACGAAAUCAAGCGAAACAAAAAUGAAAGUUGUAGCCCUGGAAGAGACGAAGAGAAUGAUAC
rnacentral:lncRNA from 1 species